UGUAUGACUCUCGACAAUGGAUAUCUUGGCUCUUGCAUCGAUGAAGAGCGCAGCGAAAUGCGAUACGUGGUGUGAAUUGCAGAAUCCCGUGAACCAUCGAGUUUUUGAACGCAAGUUGCGCCCGAGGCCAAUUGGUUGAGGGCACGCCUGCCUGGGCGUCAUGC
rnacentral:rRNA from 3 species